rnacentral:lncRNA from 1 species
GGGGUUUCAUGCGGUGGUGAUACGUUCGCCGCCGAUGAAUGAGAUAGAAGAUUCUUCCUUUUGUACUUGGGGAUUUUUUCCAUUAGGGUUUUCUGGUGAUUCUAAGGAUGUGAAUGGGGCUUCUUCUAAUUGGAACCCUGUUGCACCUUUAUUUCCAUCUUCCUUGAAAGGAUCUUCCAAUAGGAAAAAGAAUUGGGUUUACUAUGAUGAAGAGGCAACUGCGGCGUUUAUCGAUGUUUCUGAUCCGAGUGAUGAUGAUUCUGAUGAUGGGGAUUGGAGGGGUGGUAUUGGUAAGAGGAAAGGGGGGAAGAGGUCAGGGGUUAGUACUAGCAAAAAGAUUAGGAAAGAUUCUGGUAAUGCUGGUGGUAGGGAAACUGCAGAGAGACCUAGGAGGAGUGCUACUGGUGCUGCAGCUGGGAAUGGGAAUGAGAAGAAUGUUGGGGCUGUUGAUGCUGCUGGUGUGAAGGUAGAUACUAAUACUAGUAAGAAAGCUGUACCGAGUAGUUCUAGGAGGAGGGGUGCUGGAAAUUUGGAUUUGAAUGUAGAGUUCAGUAAUGAUGUGGAGGAGCCUUCCCGUGUAGUGCGUGUCCGUGAAGGAAAUGCAACUGGCAAUGCUGAGGAUAAUAUUGAAGGGAUUGGGUUUUUUGAAGGCCUUGACGAGUUCCUCAAUAGCUUGCCCAUUCUCAAUGUGGUGGGAGAUGAUAAGGUUAAGGGUCAUUAGCCAUUUUUCAAUUUAGAUGCUUUUAAUUUUUAUUUCCGUAGACUAUAGAUGUUGUUACUUGUAUGUUUACAAUUGUCGCACAACAUAUUGCUGAGCUGUUGUGAAUUCUUGUCAUUGUUAGAUUUUAUUUAAGUUAUGGCAGCAAGUACAUUAUAGUUUUUGAAGUAUUUGAGGAUUACUUCAUAUCAUGUAGAUUAUUGUUGUACCAUUGAGGAAGGAUAUAUAGAUUGAUGUUUUAAAAAGUCUGCCCACACUCUUUCUCACUGACGAUGGGGAACAGAUAAACUUAUCUCAGAGUUUUAGUUGGCCCUAAACUCUGGACUGUAUGCAUGACAAUCCAUAGAUCUGAUGCUGCUUCUAACCAUGCAUGUAAGCAAUUAUUUUCUACAUUAAAUGUUUCACUAUUGCAUGCAAAGUUUUAUAUCGGAUAUUUUGUUUUUGUUUGGUUCUGUUGUUUUCGUCUUGUUUGUUGUGUGACUUUGUUCUGUAAUAACUUAUAAGUUGAAGCCCCCUUAUGUAUCAUGCCUUUGCUAUGUUGUAAAUUGAGGCUACCUUCUGUAUCAUAUUGUAUGGGAUAUGUUUAAUCUUGUUUUCCUUUCAUCAUAUCCUUACAAGUUUGUUUGAUCCGGCUUAAAAUCACCAGCCUUUGUUUUAAAAGGCAAUUUCUGGGUGCAGUGAUAUAUAUUAGGUCUUUGAUCCUGCCAGUCUUUGGAUGUUUUGUUUUUGUUUGGUUCUGUUGUUUUCUUGUUGGUUGCUGUGUGGUNNNNNNNNNNNNNNNNNNNNNNNNNNNNNNNNNNNNNNNNNNNNNNNNNNNNNNNNNNNNNNNNNNNNNNNNNNNNNNNNNNNNNNNNNNNNNNNNNNNNNNNNNNNNNNNNNNNNNNNNNNNNNNNNNNNNNNNNNNNNNNNUGUUUUCUUGUUGGUUGCUGUGUGGCUGUUCUGUUAUAAGUUGAGGUCAGUGGCGGAGCUAGACAAUUUUUUUGGGGAGGGCCGUCAAUUUUUUUAUUUAUUUAUAUUAUCUCGUAUGUAAUAUAAAUAUAUAUGCGUUGAAUAAAAAAUAUCAUUUAUUCAUUUGCAGUGGUUUGUUCAUAUUAAUUUUAUUUGCAAGAAUAAAGUUCAAGUCUUACAUGUUGCAAUUUUAUGGUAUUUUUUGUUUAAAAUAGCAUUAAAAUGAUAAAAUGUAGAAGGCGAGGAUCGAACUCGCGCUAAUCACAUGACUGGAUGCCCUCCAGAACCACUGGAACAAAUCAAAUUGAUGUUAUAAAUUCGCAAAUACUAAUAUAUAUCAUAUACUCCUAAACAAAAAUAUGGUUAGAGAACAUCUAUUUCUAAUGAAUGAAGAUGAAGGAAGAGAGAACAUAAAAACAGGACAAACUUAUUUCUUUAAAAAACAUUAGGGCCGAUUAUUAGAGAAGAGUUGAGCCAAUUGGUUAUGAAAACAUUAAAAUACCAUAUUUUUGGUCAAGAAAAUAUUUAACUUUUUCAACAAAAUAUUAAAUAUUUAAUAUAUCAACCUAACUUAUUACUUAUGUAUGUAUGGAUCAAAAUAUUGAAUAUUAAAUAUUCUACUUUCCAUAGUCCCUCCAAAGUAUCUACAAUUUAAGCUCUUUGAAUAUGCUAUGAGAUUAAAUUCUCGAGUCGACAACUAGAAUUUAAUCUCAUAGAAUAUUAAAUAUCAAUUUUUUUACUAGAGUUAAAUUACCUUCCUAAUGAGUAACUCUAAAUUCAUGAGUUACCAGCCUCAGACGCAUAACCCUAACCCGAGGAAAAAACCUAGAUCGAGGAGAGCGUGACUGAGCCGAUUCGGAAGAAUCGGAACCCUAGCGAGCCAACUGAACCGACUCGACAAAUACGGACAGCAACUGCUGCUGAAAUGGACGGUAAGAUUAGCUUCUGGACCUUGUGCCCUUACUGUUACAUUUAUUAUGAGUAUCCGAAGAGGUAUGAAGAGUGUACCCUGCAGUGUCAGAGUUGUUGGAGGGGGUUUCAUGCAGUGGUGAUACAUUCGCCACCAUUGAACAAGAUAGAUUCUUCGUUUUGCACUUGGGGAUUUUUUCCGUUAGGGUUUUCUGGUGAUUUCAAAGAUGUGAAUGGUGCUUCUUCUGAUUGGAACCCUAUUGCACCUUUAUUUCCCUCUUCCAUGAAAGGAUCUUCCAAUAGGAAAAAGAAUUGGGUUUACUAUGAUGAAGAGGCAACUACGGCG